rnacentral:siRNA from 1 species
AUUUUUGUUUCAGGAAGAAGCAAG